AAUGCUGACCAACACUACAGAUUUUACCAGCUAUCAUAAUCAUGGCUACUAUUCAGCAAGAAACUGAGGUCUUCAGUCCAACAGCUCAUGAGGAACUGAACCCUGCCCAUAACCACUGAGUAAGAUCAAAAGCAGAUGUGGUCCCGUUUGAUAUUUGAGAGGACUGUGGCCCUGCCUAACACUCUGCAGCUCUUAAGAGUUCCUGAAGAAGGGAUUCAACUAUGCUGUGCCAGAUUAUUGAUCCAUAAAAGGUACACAAUGGAAGCUGCCAUGAGGGCACGUGGAGCAGAAGAGCAGCCAAUCUUCAAUGGGCACAUGUACAAGUAAGCCGCCAAGAUGUAGAGACUAUUUGUUUAA